GUGCUCACUUCGGCAGCACAUAUACUAAAAUUGGAAUGAUACAAAGAAGUUUAGCAUGGCCCCUGCGCAAGGAUGACACGCAAAUUCGUGAAGUGUUCCAUAUUUUU
rnacentral:snRNA from 1 species